rnacentral:precursor_RNA from 15 species
UUCCAUCACAAUGUUUUCGAAAUUUCUGCCCGGUCUAUCUUUGUUUAGACUGAUAUUUAUUUAAUUAUCACUGGGCAAAGUGGAUCUUGCAGUCGUUUCUCCAGUCCACAUCUUCCGAA